rnacentral:rRNA from 1 species
UACAUGGGGUGCAAACGUUGCUCGGAAUUAUUGGGCUUAAAGCGCGCGUAGGCGGUUACUCAAGUCGGAUGUGAAAGCCCUCGGCUUAACUGAGGAAGUGCACCCGAAACUGAGUAGCUAGAGUACUAAAGAGGGUCGCGGAAUUCCCGGUGUAGAGGUGAAAUUCGUAGAUAUCGGGAGGAACACCGGUGGCGAAGGCGGCGACCUGGGUAGAUACUGACGCUGAGGCGCGAAAGCGUGGGGAGCAAACAGG